AGUGCUGAGGACACUGGACCCGCAAAAGGCUGUCCCUCCCAAACCUGGGAUUCUGGGCUCACUGAGUUCACCUGCGAGUCAGCCCUACCUGCUCUGCUCUGGUCUAGUACAAACAGGCUGCUGGCAUUGAGGUCUGCUACAAUGCUGCUGCUGCACAGAGCUGUGGUCCUCAGGCUCCAACAGGCCUGCAGACUCAAGUCAAUCCCCUCAAGGAUCUGCAUUCAGGCCUGCUCCACAAAUGAUUCAUUUCAGCCCCAGCGCCCCAGCCUCACCUUCUCUGGUGAUAACUCCAGCACCCAGGGAUGGAGAGUCAUGGGGACCCUAUUAGGUCUCGGUGCAGUGUUGGCCUAUCAGGACCAUCGGUGUAGGGUAAGUAGGGAAGGUGCUUAAUUGUCAGAACAGACUGGGCGCAGUGGCUCACGCCUGUUAUCCCAGCACUAUAGGAGGCCAAGGUGGGUGGGUCACUUGAGGUCAGGAGUUUGAGACCAGCCUGGGCAACAUGGCAAAACCCCAUCUCUAGUAAAAAUUAGCCAGGUGUGGUGGUACAUACCUGUAAUCUCAGCUACUUGAGAGGCUGAGACACAAGAAUCACUUAAACCCAGGAGGCUAAGUCUGCAGUGAGCCAAGAUCAAGAUCGGGCCACUGCUCUCCAGCCUGGGUGACAGAGUGAGACUCCUUCUCAAAAAAAAAAAAAAAAAAAAAGUCA
rnacentral:sRNA from 1 species